rnacentral:rRNA from 1 species
UGUGGAGCUUAGACUUCCUAAAGACUAAAAACCACCUUUCAAAGAACAACUUUUCUCCCACAGAAGUUUUGGUUGGGGUAACCAUGGAGGAUAAAAAAUCUCCAGAAAACUAAACAGAUAAUAAAUCAAAUAAAAAGAAAAACGAACCAGCACCCCUGGUAAACAGAAAAAGUUACCGCAGGGAUAACAGCGUCAUCUCCUUUAAGAGUUCACAUUGACAAGGAGGAUUGCCACCUCGAUGUUGGAUUGGGGACACCAUAGGGUGCAGCAGCUCUAUAGGUUGGACUGUUCGUCCAUUAAAACCCUACAUGAUCUGAGUUCAGACCGACGAGAGUCAGGUCAGCUUCUAUCUUCUUAAUCCAUUCUUCCCAGUACGAAAGGACCGAAAGAAAGCUUUCAAUAAUUUCCAUCAAAAAGCAAAAACCCCUUAAACAAACAAAAUCCAAUAAUGAAA